UGGGCCUAUAUGUUAUCUGUGUGGAUUCUAGUACCUGCUAAGAAAUUAAGAUAAUUUUUCGAAUUGGAGAUAGAGACUACCAAUUCAUAUAAAAUAAUGAGAGGACCUUUAGACAAAAGUCUAAAUCUUUAGGAUUAAUAAAUUCAUAUACUAAUUAGACUUGGUUCUUUCUUUGUGUGUAUGGAUAUAGCCUCAAACUUGUCACUCCGAUCACUAUUAGAUAGUGAGAAGCUUACC
rnacentral:lncRNA from 1 species